AACGAACGCUGGCGGCGUGCUUAACACAUGCAAGUCGAACGAGAAAGUGUAGCAAUACAUGAGUAAAGUGGCGCACGGGUCCGUAACACGUGGGUAAUCUACCUCCAGGCGAGGAACAACCUGUCGAAAGACGGGCUAAUACCUCAUAAGACCACGAGAACGAAAGUUCUUGAGGUCAAAGGUGGCCUCUAUUUACAAGCUAUCACCUGUAGAUGAGCCCGCGCACCAUCAGCUUGUUGGUGAGGUAAAAGCUCACCAAGGCCUAGACGGUUAGCUGGUCUGAGAGGACGACCAGCGACACUGGAACUGAGACACGGUCCAGACUCCUACGGGAGGCAGCAGUGGGGAAUUUUGGACAAUGGGCGAAAGCCUGAUCCAGCAACGCCGCGUGAGUGAUGAAGGCCUUCGGGUUGUAAAGCUCUGUCGGAGGGAACGAAUAAAGGCCACCUAAUACGUGGCCAUAUGACGGUACUCUCAAAGGAAGCAACGGCUAACUCUGUGCCAGCAGCCGCGGUAA
rnacentral:rRNA from 1 species